UAAAUACCGCUGUCAGGACUUGCCAUCCAGGAGAUCCGCCUGCAGUGUAUACAAUGCAUUUCCGCGCCGUUUUCUCCUCUUGUUCAUCGACAACAGGAUCAGACUUACAAGAGACCUCGCCCAGUUCUACCUAAGGACCCAAUAUUUUAUGUCCACUUGAACCCCGUCCUGCUAUGGAGAUAUUUGACCAAUUAACUGGCAACUGAGAAUAUUAUUAUUUUGAAUAAUCCCGAAAACCUAAUUUAAAGGUAUGCUGGUGUUGAGUGUCAAGAUACAAAAACACUGCAAUAAAUUUUUCAAUCAAA